UACGAAGGGUGCAAGCCGUUAGUCGGAAUUACUGGGCGUAAAGCGUGCGUAGGUGGUCUCUUAAGUCCGUUGUGAAAGCCCUGGGCUCAACCUGGGAACUGCAGUGGAUACUGAGAGCUAGAGUGUGUCAGAGGAUGGUGGAAUUCCGGUGUAGCGGUGAAUGCGUAGAGAUCGGAGGAACGAUCAGUCGCGAAGGCGGCC
rnacentral:rRNA from 1 species